CGCCACUACAUGGGGGCCACAGAAGGAGCGUUCACGUCGCGGUCCCUGUCAGGUGUUCUACCUGCGGAUCCUUCU
rnacentral:ribozyme from 2 species